ACCAAUGGCGACAACUUCUUUCUUCUCUUGAAGAACAGCUUCAGACCAUCAACAACAGCGACCACCAUCUCUUCUUGGUCUAUUUCUAUCUUUAGAAGAAGACUAAUUCCUCAUCAUUCCACCAAUAAUUCAAUUCAAACACCACAAACCCAUCAAUUUCAGCAGCAAGUGUUCUUCCUUGUUUAAUCGACUAGACCCUAACCCCAAUUCUUCUUCGUCUCUGCACCACAGCAUCAAGAAUUAAUAAGGAGAUAUUAAUCAACUAUUUGGCAGAAAAUUGGAAAACCGUUGCUUUAGUCUCCACAGAGCUGUUAGGGUUUAUCACAGAAGAUAUGCAAGGAACAUUGAUCAACUCCUCAUUGUUACUUCCACAACAAAUCAGUUUAAUUUCAAAAUCUCGAUUUCAUUUAGGGUUUUGCAAAAAUACCCAAACUGGGAUUUUUAGUGUCCAUCAAACUAUGAGUGAUUCUUCUUCUUCUUCAGUAAUAUUAUCAGAGAAGAAACAAAAUGAGAAAGAAGUGAAGCUCUGGGGAGGUAGAUUUGAAGAAAGUGUUACUGAUACUGUCGAGAAAUUUAGCGAAUCAAUUUCUUAUGACAAAGCUUUGUAUAAACAAGAUAUUAAGCAAAGUAAAGCUCAUGCUACUAUGCUUGCUAAACAGGGGUUGAUGACUGCCAGUGACAGGGAUGCCAUACUGCAAGGUCUUGACAAAAUAGACAAGUGUAUUGAAGGGGGGGAAUUUGUUUGGAGAACAGAUAGGGAGGAUGUGCACAUGAACAUUGAAGCAGCUCUUACCGAUUUGAUUGGUGAACCUGCAAAAAAGCUUCAUACAGCUAGGAGCCGAAAUGAUCAAGUUGUGACAGAUCUACGACUGUGGUGUCGCGAUGCUAUAGAUAAGAUCCUUUUAUGCAUCAAACGUCUACAGGUUGCUCUAGUGAACCUGGCUAAAGUAAAUGAAGGUCUCAUUGUUCCUGGCUAUACUCAUCUACAGAGAGCCCAACCUGUGUUACUGCAGCAUCUUCUCUUGUCAUAUGUUGAGCAGCUUGAACGUGAUGCUGGACGAUUAGCAGAUUGCAGAAGUCGGCUAAACUUCUGCCCUCUUGGAGCAUGUGCAUUAGCGGGUACCGGUCUACCUAUAGAUAGAUUUAUGACCUCUGAUGCUCUGGGGUUUACUGCACCCAUGAGGAAUAGCAUUGAUGCGGUUUCAGACCGUGACUUUGUUCUGGAAUUCUUGUCAGCGAAUUCAAUUGUAGCUAUCCAUCUUUCUCGACUCAGUGAAGAAUGGGUUUUGUGGGCGUCAGAGGAGUUUGGGUUCCUUACCCCAAGUGAUGCAGUCUCCACCGGUAGUAGCAUCAUGCCUCAAAAGAAGAACCCUGACCCAAUGGAACUUGUUCGUGGAAAAUCUGCCAGAGUUGUAGGAGACCUUGUCACCCUUCUUGUACUUUGCAAGGGACUUCCACAAGCUUACAACCGUGAUCUACAGGAAGACAAGGAGCCUCUGUUCGACAGUGUUAAAACAAUAAUAGGAAUGCUUGAAGUGUCUACAGAGUUUGCGCAAAAUAUCACCUUUAACCGCGAAAGGAUUCAAAGGGCUUUACCAGCUGGGCAUCUCGAUGCUACCACAGUUGCAGAUUAUCUAGUAAACAAGAAUAUUCCAUUUAGGACUUCGCACGAUAUAGUUGGACGAUCAGUUGCAUUGUGUGUUUCAAAAAAGUGCGAGCUACAAGACUUGUCCCUGGAUGAAUUGAAAAGCUUAAGUCCAAUUUUUGAGCAGGAUGUUUACGAGUACCUUGGUGUAGAGAAUUCAGUAAAGAAAUUCCGCUCGUAUGGAUCAACAGGUUCAGAGUGUGUAAGAGAUCAACUUGGUUACUGGUCUAACAAGCUCGAAAUUAACAGAUAAAGCGAAUUCCUGAAUAAGUCCAGCUACUCGAACGCCAGAUAGAAUUGCAAGGCAAGAAUCCAAACACGUGGUGUGUGGUGCCACUGGACACCCUCACUUCACCGCUAAUAUGGUUUCUGUUUGCUUUCUGAGUAGCAUUUUUGUACUGAAAUUUAUUUUCAUAUCAGUAGGUAAAGAAGUUUUGAUAAAACCUAAGAUCUUUGAUGGAGUCUUCCGAUGUUAUGCAGUUGCAAUCGCAGUAUUCGUUGUUGUCGCAGAAACAGAAUGCAGAUUCAUUUUAAGGUUUUGGAGGCGUUGCUGUGAUGACAAGAGCUUUCCCUGAUGUUAAUGGAGCCAGAAAAGAUCAAGCUAUUUGCUUCUGGCCUGUGGCGUGACGUAUCUAAUUUCGGUAAUUCUGACUUUUUCAUGAAUACAUGUUUAGGUUAUUUGAUUUCUUAAAAGAGCUGAUGAUGGUCUUCUGAGCUGUAUGGUAUCAUGAACCCAAAGUUGGUCAUAUAAGACCCGAAGUUGUAUUAUUGUCGUUAGUAUUAGCAGUGAUUUCGUGUCAAUGUUAACAGAUGAUUCUCAUAAAGAAAUUGUGCACUCUU